UACGUAGGGUGCGAGCGUUAAUCGGAAUUACUGGGCGUAAAGCGUGCGCAGGCGGAUGUUUAAGUCAGAUGUGAAAUCCCCGGGCUCAACCUGGGAAUGGCAUUUGAAACUGGGCAUCUAGAGUGCGUCAGAGGGGGGUGGAAUUCCACGUGUAGCAGUGAAAUGCGUAGAGAUGUGGAGGUACACCGAUGGCGAAGGCAGCGCCCUGGGAUGACACUGACGCUCAUGCACAAAAGCGUGGGGAACAAACAUGAUUAGAUACCCUGGUAGUACACGCCCUAAACUAUGUCAACUAGUUGUUGGGGACGUAAGUUCUUAGUGACGAAGCUAACGCGUGAAGUUGACCGCCUGGGGAGUACGGCCGCAAGGUUG
rnacentral:rRNA from 1 species